AUCACUUUGCUCCCUGUCGGUUCGGUGUGUAGGUGUUUGAUUCAAUCUGUUUUUGAAGUUUCUGAGAUAGAGAGAAAUCAGAGAGUCCUGACCAUGUUUUACCCACAACAAAUGCUAAGUGUUAUUAUUGCUGGAUUCAUAUCUGUCAAAGCACAAGUCAUCCAGCCCAUCAACGUAACAGGAGCAGCCGGGACUCAGGUUACCCUGCCAUGUCAAGUCAGAAAUGUCGGCCUAUAUGAUAGUGUUGUGUGGCAAGGGUCCUAUCAAGAGCCAAUAUCGGUCAACGACAGAAUAGUAGCCAUGGAAUCCAUGAAAUACGAAAUCAAACAAAAGCACAGUGAUGACUGGAGUCUGACCAUAUCCAAUCUAAAGUCCUCGGACCAAGCAAGAUACACGUGUAUGAAGGGUGCAACAGAGGUCCAAAUUGUGGACCUUUGGAUCAAAGCACCGCCACGCAUACUGGACCAGAACAAGACAAUCGAUUCGUUUGUGGGGGAGACCGUCAUGCUUCGUUGUCAGGUCACGGGGAUCCCCCCACCCCAGGUCAAGUGGUACAAGACCUCGGGAUAACAGGCGCCUAUUUCUCUUUGACACUGUCUGAGGACUCUGGAGGAAUUUACAUCUGUCAGGCAGAUAAUGGAAUUCAACCCAAGGCAGACAGACACUUCCGCAUCAAUGUUGAAUUAAUGCCAAUCAUAACAGUGUCCAUGAAACAAAUAAAACAAGAGCAAGGGAAACCUACCAAGCUUCAAUGCAUGGUAGAAGGACAUUCUCUGGGGAAAGUAAAGUGGUUUUACAAGGGGAGGCGAAUUGUACGAGAUGAUCGAAUCACCUUCUCCGCUCACAAUACCUCAUCCAAUGUCGUCACCUACUUCAUGGCCAUCCAAUCUCUGGAAUCUGGGGACUUCGGUAUUUACACCUGUAAGGUGUCCAACAAUGCUGGAAGUGCAGAGGCUCAGGUUGAGCUCGUUGAAAUACUUCCGGAGAUAAAAGCAACAAGAUGUGAGAAACUGAACAAUGAACACUGUCUUGGCAUUCUACAGUCCAAUUUCACAUUGUUUCCGAACAGUCGAGGGGACAAAACUCAAGAAGAAGCUUCAGUAACGUUUGAACAAUCUUUCGUCGUAGUCAAAAGUACGUGUAGUAAAUACUUGCUGCCGUUUCUGUGUGGGACCUACUUCCCGCUCUGUGUCAAUGACAGCAUUAUUCCACUAUGUCCCUACCUCUGUGACCACAGUCAAUCCGGCUGUAUGGAAUCAUUUAAGAAAUACGGAACCACGUGGUCAUAUAACUGUAUAGACUCUUACCAUCAGCUUAACAAAAGCAAAGAAUGUUUAGGAAUCAGUGGGGUCGAAAAAAUAGCUCCAUAUAUCAAAGUAACUGAUGUGUCUGACGACCAAGUUCUACAAAAAGGAGACAAACUAAAUUUACACUGCAACUUCAUAUCUAAUACUGACUAUACCAUUAAAUGGUACAAGAUCAGCAAGAAUUCGUACAUCUCUCGACCGGAGAAAAACGAAGUUGGAAGCGAGGAAAAUUAUGCAAUAGGAAGCGUAAAGGACGCUGAUGCUGGAGUGUAUGUUUGUGAAGCUUCGAACACCGCGGGAGUGACAGAUUCAAGAAAUAUAACGGUGGACGUAGAAUUUGCUCCUAAAGUGACCAUUCAGCCAGAGGUGGCUCUAAUGACCGGACUGGACAUGAUCCUUAAAUGUGACGUUCAAGGAAAUCCCCCGCCAAUCGUCACAUGGAGCAAAGGGACCAGAAAGUUGCCCACGGGGCGACAGAUGCACACUAAAUACUCUUUUACUUACACAUUGAAACUAGCAGCCAUGAAUGUAGCCCAUUUAGGAAAAUAUAACUGUUCUGCUACAAAUAUUCUAGGAAGUGACUUUGGAAUAACAUCAGUAAAAGAUUAUGGGAAACCAAUGAAAGAAUCAAAGCCAGAAUUCGAAGUUAUUUCAUCAAAUUCAACAAUUAAAACAACACCACAAGAAACUCAGCCGGAAACUCAGCCAAAUAGGGAGAGCAGCACGGCGCAAAUAGCUGGGGAAAAAUCGAGAGAGAGCCAGGCUGUUACGAAUCAAUGUCAGACUUCAUAUUUGUUCUUCUCUUUAUUACUAACUAUAUUUACAAUGAAAGUAUUACAUUACUAACAAUCUAUACAUGAAAUUAUUCCACAAGUGCCAUAUAUUACACAAAUAUCACGUCCUUCGUGCGUUGUACAAAUUUUUAUCUAAUUUAAUCAUAACUAUUUUUGCAAAGUUAAUGCAUUGCAUAAAAAUACAUGAAGUAUUAGAUAUGGUCGUUCAUACAUGUACUUGUACAAUCGUUCUGUCAUGUUGUAAAUUUUGAAUUUACCGAGUGUACGUAAAUACAAAAUUUACAAGUUAGUUGUCAUGUCGUAAAUUUUGUAUUUACUGCCACCCGAUAAAUUCAAAAUUUACAACAUGACAGUUCACUAAGUAUAAGCUACAUUGCAUUGUAUGCAUUGCUUAAUCAGAACGAAAUACUCAUCUGUAAAUAUUACAUUAGAAAAAUAUUAUUUUGUCAUGUUCCUUUUCAUUCAUGAAAUGUUUUUCAGUUUAAACCAAGGUCAAAUAAUCUGUGCCUACAUUGUCCAUUUGACUGUUCAUUAUACUGUUUACUAUCUACAUGUAUACAAACCAAAACAAUAGCCAUGUUCAUGUAUUCCUUUUUCACCAUCUGCCAUAUUUAUACGACUGUGAUGCUAUUCAGUUUAUAAAAUGAUUUUAUUUUUGUCCUUUAACUUGUAUCAUUUUGUAUAUAUACAAUGAAUUGUUUUACAUUUGUAUGCCCUAAAGGGUAUUAUUCGUCAACGUAUUGAUGAAAUGUUUAGAAGCAAUUUAGUUUAAGUCAGUACUCACUUAAUGUCAUUCAUGCAUGUAUGUAAAGAAAACGAAUUUGGAAUGUCAGAUUCAUUAAGCAUUUCUUGUGGAGUUAUAAAAUUCUUAAUAUAAAAUCUUUUAACAAGUCUUAC
rnacentral:misc_RNA from 1 species